rnacentral:rRNA from 1 species
AGAGUUUGAUCCUGGCUCAGAACGAACGCUAGCGGCGUGCUUAACACAUGCAAGUCGUACGAGAAAUCCCGGGCAACUGGGAGAGUAAAGUGGCGCACGGGUGAGUAACGCGUGGGUAAUCUACCUUGGAGUUGGGAAUAACACCUCGAAAGGGGUGCUAAUACCGAAUAUCGUCCCUGGAGUUUCGGCCCUGGGGAUGAAAGAUGGCUGAGGCUUGCAAGCUAUUGCUCCAAGAUGAGCCCGCGUACCAUUAGCUAGUUGGUGGGGUAAUGGCCCACCAAGGCUAUGAUGGUUAGCUGGUCUGAGAGGAUGGCCAGCCACACUGGAACUGAGAUACGGUCCAGACUCCUACGGGAGGCAGCAGUGAGGAAUCUUGCGCAAUGGGGGCAACCCUGACGCAGCAACGCCGCGUGAGUGAUGAAGGCCUUCGGGUCGUAAAGCUCUGUCAGGCGGGAAGAAAGUUUUCAGGGUGAACAAUCCUGGAGAUUGACGGUACCGCCAGAGGAAGCACCGGCUAACUCCGUGCCAGCAGCCGCGGUAAUACGGAGGGUGCUAGCGUUGUUCGGAAUUAUUGGGCGUAAAGAGCGUGUAGGCGGCCUUGUAAGUCAGAUGUGAAAGCCCUUGGCUUAACCAAGGAAGGGCAUUUGAAACUGCUUGGCUUGAGUACGGGAGGGGGAAGCGGAAUUCCCGGUGUAGAGGUGAAAUUCGUAGAUAUCGGGAGGAACACCGGUGGCGAAGGCGGCUUCCUGGACCGAUACUGACGCUGAGACGCGAAAGCGUGGGGAGCAAACAGGAUUAGCUACCCUGGUAGUCCACGCCGUAAACUUUGGGCACUAGGUGUUGCGGGUAUUGACCCCUGCAGUGCCGAAGCUAACGCAUUAAGUGCCCCGCCUGGGGAGUACGGUCGCAAGACUAAAACUCAAAGGAAUUGACGG